rnacentral:rRNA from 1 species
AACGAACGCUGGCGGCAGGCCUAACACAUGCAAGUCGAGCGAGGACUUCGGUUCUAGCGGCGGACGGGUGAGUAACGCGUGGGAAUGUGCCCUUCUCUACGGAAUAGCCCUGGGAAACUGGGAGUAAUACCGUAUACGCCCUUUUGGGGAAAGAUUUAUCGGAGAAGGAUCAGCCCGCGUUGGAUUAGGUAGUUGGUGGGGUAAUGGCCUACCAAGCCGACGAUCCAUAGCUGGUUUGAGAGGAUGAUCAGCCACACUGGGACUGAGACACGGCCCAGACUCCUACGGGAGGCAGCAGUGGGGAAUCUUAGACAAUGGGGGCAACCUUGAUCUAGCCAUGCCGCGUGAGUGAUGAAGGCCUUAGGGUUGUAAAGCUCUUUCAGCUGGGAAGAUAAUGACGGUACCAGCAGAAGAAGCCCCGGCUAACUCCGUG